CCUGGCAGUGAUGUCGUUGCACUCAGGCUCCUCACAUGUGUCACAGCAGGUGCCUGGAAUUUUCAUAAUUUUACCUCCCUCAGCCAGACACUUGUGUUCAUCAAAGGGUGGGCAGCCUGUGACCCUCUUCUCCCAGAAGUACUCUCCUCUCUCAUUGACCUUGCAGAAGUGAGUAUCACAGCCAUCCUGGAGCGUCUCAUCACGCUUCAGUGUCAUGAUCUGUCCUCCUCUUAGCUGAAUGGUGCAAGCCGUAGGCAAACAUCUCCCACAAC
rnacentral:lncRNA from 1 species